CCUACGGGGGGCAGCAGUGGGGAAUAUUGCACAAUGGGCGCAAGCCUGAUGCAGCCAUGCCGCGUGUGUGAAGAAGGCCUUCGGGUUGUAAAGCACUUUCAGCGGGGAGGAAGGCGGUGAGGUUAAUAACCUCAUCGAUUGACGUUACCCGCAGAAGAAGCACCGGCUAACUCCGUGCCAGCAGCCGCGGUAAUACGGAGGGUGCAAGCGUUAAUCGGAAUUACUGGGCGUAAAGCGCACGCAGGCGGUCUGUCAAGUCGGAUGUGAAAUCCCCGGGCUCAACCUGGGAACUGCAUUCGAAACUGGCAGGCUAGAGUCUUGUAGAGGGGGGUAGAAUUCCAGGCGUAGCGGUGAAAUGCGUAGAGAUCUGGAGGAAUACCGGUGGCGAAGGCGGCCCCCUGGACAAAGACUGACGCUCAGGUGCGAAAGCGUGGGGAGCAAACAGGAUUAGAUACCCUAGUAGUC
rnacentral:rRNA from 1 species